GUAAAUUACGCUGGAGCGGAAGAAGAAGAGGAUGAGUCAGCUGACUACUUAAGGGGUACGGCGCACUCCAUUUGUUUCAGCUCUGUUAACCGAACAGAAAUUCGAGAUACAAGCAAAGAUUUCGAGAUAGGGCUGGAGAAUGAACAGGGCUCUGUUUAUUCCACGCUCGGGAGGAUGUCGGGGACACCGGAUCAACAAAGGCAGCACUGUCGUGUGAGCACAAUGGCAGACGUAUUGAUCGUGACCUGACGUGACAGCGGUAUUGAUCGGCAUUCCCGAGAUGAGCGGUGAGAGACAGGCAGAUCGCCUUCAAUGCUGACAACAUCGCAGCAAAGUGAAAGUCUGUAGACACCCGGUGGUUAAAAUGCGACAAAAUACUGCACUGCAGGCCAAAAUGGGAACCAGGGAAUUCCCUGAUUUCAGUCCCCGUAAUUAUAAAACUCCCUGUGUCUCAGUGGACUCCUUGGGAACGGGGAAAAAAAUACUUUAAUCCACCUUUGCUUCCGUCGCCUUCAUUUUCUCUGUGCUUCAUUUCUUGUUUAAACAUGAAAUGUGCUACAUUUGUUUUUACACUUGUAUGAGUGUAAAAACGGGUUUCAAACCCGUGCCCCGAUUUGAAACCCAACAGCAGCGAUGGACAACUGGCGGCCUGUGUCCACACCUGGAGUGGCCCUCGAUUAAUUUUUGAAAACAAAAAUAGCAGAGCAGUUUUAAAUUGUAUUAACAAUGACCACGAGAUUGAAACCCUGACUUCAAACCCUAUUGUGAAAACCUAACCCUGGAUUCAAAUACCAACCUGGCUUAAAAGUCAACUUUUUGAAACCCUAAGCCUUGCUAGAAAACCAAACCCUACUUUGAAAUGGUAACCUUUGUUAGAAAGCCUACUUAUGGCUUGGGACUGUUUUUAGAAAUUGUAACUCUGAUUUGAAACACUUAAACGUGUUUAAAAUCAUAACACGAAACCCUGAUGCGAAAUCCAAGUAAUGGCUUGAAAUCCUACUCUGAAACCCUAACCCUACUUUGAAACCCUAAUUUUGGUUUCAAACUAACACUGGCUGGAAGUUUUCAUUUGAAACUUUAACCCUGAAUUGAAACACUAAAUUGAAAAGCUUAACCCAAUUGAAACCUUAACUCGAGCUUGGCACUCUAAUUUGAAACCUUCGCCCUCACCAAACCAUUCAUUGAAACCCUAAUUAUGUGAUGAUAGGCAGACAAACUAAGAAAAAGUCUCCCCCACCGGCACACCGUAACUCAAAACUCAAAUUGUCCACUGGCGAAUACUCAAAGAGAAACGAGCUUGACAGAGCACAGCCGGGAUGGGUGCCACAAUAACUCUCACGGAAUUUGCACCUCUUUUAUCUCUCUGGCCCUGUACAUUCACCUUCAUCGGUUACUUCACUCAUAAACUAGCAGAAGGUCCACGUGUCCAUGGACACAUCGCCCAGCAAUAAAAAAAAAGUGCAGUCAGUCAAUAACUUUCUUACUUUUGAUCCAUUCACAGUUUCUAUGGUAGCCAGCGGAAACACACACGCUGAGCAAACAUCCCAUUUCCACAGGAAACAUCUGAUCAAGAAUGUGUGUGUGUGUGUGUCUGAGAGAGAGAGACAGAGACCGAGAGAGAGCGAGAGAAAAAACAAAAAACGUCCACUCAGUACUGUCAGUCACCAAAGUAUUUAAAAAAACAACGUAUUAGACACUAGAAAGUGAUGUUAAUAUUUGUUUCUCCAACAAAUAUUCAUGGGUCAAUAUGACAACAUUUUACAUUUUACAUUUCAUUUUAAAAAAAUCCCCUGAACUAGUUGCCAGCCACUCGCAGGACACAUAUAGACAAAUAACCAUUCACUCUCACAAUUAUACCUAGGGACUACUGUGUUACAUUAACCUACUAUGCAUGUUUUUGGAAUGUGGGAGGAAAUUGGAGUACCCGGAGAAAACCCACACAGGCAUGGGGAGAACAUCCAAACUCCACAAAGGAAAGCCAGGACCUGCCUGGAAUCGAACCCAUGACUUCUGUGCUGCGAGGCAGACGUCCUAACCAGUCGGUCAUCUAUCUAUCUAUCUAUCUAUCUAUCUAUC